rnacentral:lncRNA from 1 species
UCUAAUGUUUAAUUUUAUUUUUCUUUCUCUCAUUUUUCUUUUUUCUUAUAGAUUCUCACCACAGGUAUAUUUUCAAUCUGAAGAAUAUUUUUCUACUGAUGAACUAACAAUUGUAAACAGUUAUGAGCUUCCAACAAAAAUGGACCAUGUAGUGAGGAGGAAUGUGACUGAGCGCAGCUGGUUCAGUGAUGGGGAUGAUGAUUCUGAACCUUCCAAAGAAGAUAACCGAUAUGAUCGAUCUUGUCCUCCACAUUUCUCAUCUCCAGGCCUGGGAAAGUUCCAGAACAUUCCUCCAAAUCUUCCUGAAAGAAAUUUACCAGGUAAUUUGUGCAAACUAUUAUCUUACUUGUAUUUUGAUAAUAAUGAGCUGAAGUUAAACAGAAAAAUCAUUCUAAAAGAAGAAAGAAUGAUCAAAUAUGGUAGGUGUAAAAAUUGCAUAUUAUCCAUUUUAUUUUUGUAUCAUUAAGAGAUUAUGACUAUUAAUAAUUAGAUUAUUGUUGUUUUUAUUGCAUAUGUGUUAAGAAGAUUAAACUGCUAAAAAGCUAAGCAAAAGGAAAAUCGUCUUACUUACCUUCAUAAUAUUUGCUUUUUUAAAAGGACUGAAGACCAUAAU